AACUGCAGCCAUAUCACCCUGCAACUCACAACUGCCAGCCCACUGAAAAUAAGCAGGUGUGAGCCUGGUCAGUACCUGGAUGGGAGACCUCCUGGGAAAAACUAAGGUUGCUGCUGGAA
ensembl:rRNA 5S_rRNA 5S ribosomal RNA